AGAAGCAGAGGGGGCUUAGUGGUGGGGUGACUGCGUACCUUUUGUAUAAUGGGUCAGCGACUUAUAUUCUGUAGCAAGGUUAACCGUAUAGGGGAGCCGGAGGGAAACCGAGUCUUAACCGGGCGUUAAGUUGCAGGGUAUAGACCCGAAACCCGGUGAUCUAGCCAUGGGCAGGUUGAAGGUUGGGUAACACUAACUGGAGGACCGAACCGACUAAUGUUGAAAAAUUAGCGGAUGACCUGUGGCUGGGGGUGAAAGGCCAAUCAAACCGGGAGAUAGCUGGUUCUCCCCGAAAGCUAUUUAGGUAGCGCCUCGUGAAUUCAUCUCCGGGGGUAGAGCACUGUUUCGGCUAGGGGGCCAUCCCGGCUUACCAACCCGAUGCAAACUGCGAAUACCGGAGAAUGUUAUCACGGGAGACACACGGCGGGUGCUAACGUCCGUCGUGAAGAGGGAAACAACCCAGACCGCCAGCUAAGGUCCCAAAGUCAUGGUUAAGUGGGAAACGAUGUGGGAAGGCCCAGACAGCCAGGAUGUUGGCUUAGAAGCAGCCAUCAUUUAAAGAAAGCGUAAUAGCUCACUGGUCGAGUCGGCCUGCGCGGAAGAUGUAACGGGGCUAAACCAUGCACCGAAGCUGCGGCAGCGACGCUGAUGCGUUGUUGGGUAGGGGAGCGUUCUGUAAGCCUGCGAAGGUGGCCUGUGAGGGUUGCUGGAGGUAUCAGAAGUGCGAAUGCUGACAUAAGUAACGAUAAAGCGGGUGAAAAGCCCGCUCGCCGGAAGACCAAGGGUUCCUGUCCAACGUUAAUCGGGGCAGGGUGAGUCGACCCCUAAGGCGAGGCCGAAAGGCGUAGUCGAUGGGAAACGGGUUAAUAUUCCCGUACUUGGUGUUACUGCGAAGGGGGGACGGAGAAGGCUAUGUUGGCCGGGCGACGGUUGUCCCGGUUUAAGCGUGUAGGUGUGUGUUCCAGGUAAAUCCGGUU
rnacentral:rRNA from 1 species